UUGGCGGCGCGCCUAACACAUGCAAGUCGAACGAGCGAGAGAGAGCUUGCUUUCUCGAGCGAGUGGCGAACGGGUGAGUAACGCGUGAGGAACCUGCCUCAAAGAGGGGGACAACAGUUGGAAACGACUGCUAAUACCGCAUAAGCCCACGGGUCGGCAUCGACCAGAGGGAAAAGGAGCAAUCCGCUUUGAGAUGGCCUCGCGUCCGAUUAGCUAGUUGGUGAGGUAAUGGCCCACCAAGGCAACGAUCGGUAGCCGGACUGAGAGGUUGAACGGCCACAUUGGGACUGAGACACGGCCCAGACUCCUACGGGAGGCAGCAGUGGGGAAUAUUGCACAAUGGGGGAAACCCUGAUGCAGCGACGCCGCGUGGAGGAAGAAGGUCUUCGGAUUGUAAACUCCUGUUGUUGGGGAAGAUAAUGACGGUACCCAACAAGGAAGUGACGGCUAACUACGUGCCAGCAGCCGCGGUAAAACGUAGGUCACAAGCGUUGUCCGGAAUUACUGGGUGUAAAGGGAGCGCAGGCGGGAAGACAAGUUGGAAGUGAAAUCUAUGGGCUCAACCCAUAGACUGCUUUCAAAACUGUUUUUCUUGAGUAGUGCAGAGGUAGGCGGAAUUCCCGGUGUAGCGGUGGAAUGCGUAGAUAUCGGGAGGAACACCAGUUGCGAAGGCGGCCUACUGGGCACCAACUGACGCUGAGGCUCGAAAGUGUGGGUAGCAAACAGGAUUAGAUACCCUGGUAGUCCACACCGUAAACGAUGAUUACUAGGUGUUGGAGGAUUGACCCCUUCAGUGCCGCAGUUAACACAAUAAGUAAUCCACCUGGGGAGUACGACCGCAAGGUUGAAACUCAAAGGAAUUGACGGGGGCCCGCACAAGCAGUGGAGUAUGUGGUUUAAUUCGACGCAACGCGAAGAACCUUACCAAGUCUUGACAUCCCUUGACAGACAUAGAAAUAUGUAAUCUCUUCGGAGCAAGGAGACAGGUGGUGCAUGGUUGUCGUCAGCUCGUGUCGUGAGAUGUUGGGUUAAGUCCCGCAACGAGCGCAACCCUUAUGGUCAGUUACUACGCAAGAGGACUCUGGCCAGACUGCCGUUGACAAAACGGAGGAAGGUGGGGAUGACGUCAAAUCAUCAUGCCCUUUAUGACUUGGGCUACACACGUACUACAAUGGCGUUAAACAAAGAGAAGCAAGACCGCGAGGUGGAGCAAAACUCAGAAACAACGUCCCAGUUCGGACUGCAGGCUGCAACUCGCCUGCACGAAGUCGGAAUUGCUAGUAAUCGUGGAUCAGCAUGCCACGGUGAAUACGUUCCCGGGCCUUGUACA
rnacentral:rRNA from 1 species